GCCCUUUGCACCUGCAGCUCCUGCUGCCUACAGGGCCUGUCCUGGUUGCUUCCUGGCCUCAGACGCUUCCCUGGCGGCCUCACUCGGUCUCCCCGUUACAGCUGGAGUGUGUCACCACAGCUGGUGGCUCACGGCCUUU